GACGAACGCUGGCGGCGUGCUUAACACAUGCAAGUCGAACGGAAAGGCCCCUUUGGGGGUACUCGAGUGGCGAACGGGUGAGUAACACGUGAGUAACCUGCCCUUGACUUCGGGAUAACUUCAGGAAACUGGGGCUAAUACCGGAUAGGAAUCCUUGCUUCAUGGUGGGGGUUGGAAAGCUUCGGCGGUUUUGGAUGGACUCGCGGCUUAUCAGCUUGUUGGUGGGGUAGUGGCUUACCAAGGCUUUGACGGGUAGCCGGCCUGAGAGGGCGACCGGCCACAUUGGGACUGGGAUACGGCCCAGACUCCUACGGGAGGCAGCAGUGGGGAAUAUUGCACAAUGGGCGGAAGCCUGAUGCAGCAACGCCGCGUGCGGGAUGACGGCCUUCGGGUUGUAAACCGCUUUCAGCAGGGGCGAAGCUUGUGGUGACGGUACCUGCAGAAGAAGCACCGGCUAACUACGUG
rnacentral:rRNA from 1 species